CAUGGCUUCGACGCAGGUCGCGAAACCGGAGGUGCAUGCCGAGGGGCAGAGAACCUCGUAAAUCCAGCUGCACAUCAAUAUAGUUGCCAACGACGACAACUACGCACUCGCCGCUUAAAACCCGGUAGGGUGCCCUCUGGCCGGUACCGUGCCUGUGCGGUCCGGAUCCCAGGGGUCAUCUCUCACAGGAUCGCGCCAAGGUUCGUCCGGGACCGCGGCGUUAAAACCUUACCGGACUCGCUGGCCGCUUUCCCUGCCCGUCGGGUAACGGCCAGUCAAAUCAAUAGACGCGGCUAAGCAUGUAGAGCCAAAGGCAGAGGACCUGCGGACGCGGGUUCGAUUA
rnacentral:tmRNA from 1 species